rnacentral:rRNA from 2 species
GGGUUGUGAGGUUAAGCGACUAAGCGUACACGGUGGAUGCCCUGGCAGUCAGAGGCGAUGAAGGACGUGCUAAUCUGCGAUAAGCGUCGGUAAGGUGAUAUGAACCGUUAUAACCGGCGAUUUCCGAAUGGGGAAACCCAGUGUGAUUCGUCACACUAUCAUUAACUGAAUCCAUAGGUUAAUGAGGCGAACCGGGGGAACUGAAACAUCUAAGUACCCCGAGGAAAAGAAAUCAACCGAGAUUCCCCCAGUAGCGGCGAGCGAACGGGGAGCAGCCCAGAGCCUGAAUCAGUGUGUGUGUUAGUGGAAGCGUCUGGAAAG